rnacentral:tmRNA from 1 species
GGGUGGCUAGGGUAGUGGUCGCGGGUCUUUUGGUCCGUCAGGCCAAUUCGCGGCGCAUCGCACCGGUCUGGUUGCGGUCAGACCGGUAGGCACGGGCGGCAGACACAAGUGCACGAAAGAUGGCGCGUUGUCGGUGUGCGUAGAACAGAUGUUCGGGGUGCCAUUGCACGCCAAGUGCGAAGGGGUCGCGCACGCGUUCGAUGGCUUGAACCAUGCCGCCGGUAUCGCGUGCCGAUAUCCUGAGUCCUUGGCCCAGCCGGUCGACUGCUUGCGUGUGCAGGGCGUUGACCUUCAUCGGGCGUUCGCCGCUGAUCAGGGACAGGUGGGUGUUCGCUUCGACGCAGACCUCGCGCUUGGGCAGGAUCGUCUUGAUCUUGCGUUCGGGGCCGUAGGUCGUCCA